GCCUGGGUGGCUCAGUCGGUUGAGUGUCUGACUUCAGCUUAGGUCACGAUCUCACGGUUCGUGAGUUCGAGCCCCGCAUCGGGCU
rnacentral:tRNA from 1 species